UACGUAGGGUGCGAGCGUUAAUCGGAAUUACUGGGCGUAAAGCGUGCGCAGGCGGUUUUGUAAGUCUGACGUGAAGUCCCCGGGCUUAACCUGGGAAUUGCGUUGGAGACUGCAAGGCUGGAGUCUGGCAGAGGGGGGUAGAAUUCCACGUGUAGCAGUGAAAUGCGUAGAGAUGUGGAGGAACACCGAUGGCGAAGGCAGCCCCCUGGGUCAAGACUGACGCUCAUGCACGAAAGCGUGGGGAGCAAACAGG
rnacentral:rRNA from 1 species